rnacentral:rRNA from 1 species
UACGUAAGGGGCAAGCGUUAUCCGGAUUUACUGGGUGUAAAGGGAGCGCAGGCGGCAUGACAAGUCUGAUGUGAAAGGCAGGGGCUCAACCCCUGGACUGCAUUGGAAACUGUCAAGCUAGAUUGCAGGAGAGGUAAGCGGAAUUCCUAGUGUAGCGGUGAAAUGCGUAGAUAUUAGGAGGAACACCAGUGGCGAAGGCGGCUUACUGGACUGCAAAUGACGCUGAGGCUCGAAAGCGUGGGGAGCAAAC